AUUGAACGCUGGCGGCAGGCCUAACACAUGCAAGUCGAGCGGAUGAAGGGAGCUUGCUCCUGGAUUCAGCGGCGGACGGGUGAGUAAUGCCUAGGAAUCUGCCUGGUAGUGGGGGAUAACGUCCGGAAACGGGAGCUAAUACCGCAUACGUCCUGAGGGAGAAAGUGGGGGAUCUUCGGACCUCACGCUAUCAGAUGAGCCUAGGUCGGAUUAGCUAGUUGGUGGGGUAAAGGCCUACCAAGGCGACGAUCCGUAACUGGUCUGAGAGGAUGAUCAGUCACACUGGAACUGAGACACGGUCCAGACUCCUACGGGAGGCAGCAGUGGGGAAUAUUGGACAAUGGGCGAAAGCCUGAUCCAGCCAUACCGCGUGUGUGAAGAAGGUCUUCGGAUUGUAAAGCACUUUAAGUUGGGAGGAAGGGCAGUAAGUUAAUACCUUGCUGUUUUGACGUUACCAACAGAAUAAGCACCGGCUAACUUUGUG
rnacentral:rRNA from 1 species